rnacentral:rRNA from 1 species
GAUGAACGCUGGCGGCGUGCCUAAUACAUGCAAGUCGAGCGGACAGAUGCGGCGCUUGCUCCUCUCUCGUUUGCGGCGGGCGGGUGAGUCACACGUGGAUCACCUACCUAUCAGUCUGGGAUAACUUCGGAACACCGGCGCUUAUACCGUAUAAUCUCUUGAAGCGUGUGGUUCAUUAGUGAAAGUCGGUUUUGCUGUCACGUCUCGCUGCAUCUGGGCUGCAUUAGCUAGUUGGUAAGGUAACGGCCUACGAAGGCAAGGAUGCGUGGCCGACUGAAGAGGGUGAUCGGCGACACGGGAACUGAGACACGGACCAGGCGCCUGCGGUAGGCAGCAGUAGGGAAUCGUCCGCAAUGGGCGAGAGCCUGACGGAGCAACGCGGCGUCAGAUAUGAAGGUCUUCGGAGCGUAAAACUCUGUUAUUAGUGAAGAACAAAUUUGUAAGGAACUAUGCAGGUCUUGACGGUACCUAGUCAGAAAGCCACGGCUAACUACGUG